GAUGAACGCUGGCGGCGUGCCUAAUACAUGCAAGUCGAGCGAACGGACGAGAAGCUUUCUUCUCUGAUGUUAGCGGCGGACGGGUUAUUAACACGUGGUUAACCUACCUAUAAGACUGGGAUAACUUUGGGAAACCGGAGCUAAUACCGGACAAUAUUUUGAACCGCAUUGUUCAAAAGUGAAAGACGGUCUUGCUGUCACUUAUAGAUGGAUCCGCGCUGCAUUAGCUAGUUGGUAAGGUAACUGCUUACCAAGGCAACGAUGCAUAGCCGACCUGAGAGGGUGAACGGCCACACUGGAACUGAGACACGGUCCAGACUCCUACGGGAGGCAGCAGUAGGGAAUCUUCCGCAAUGGGCGAAAGCCUGACGGAGCAACGCCGCGUGAGUGAUGAAGGUCUUCGGAUCGUAAAACUCUGUUAUUAGGGAAGAACAUAUGUGUAAGUAACUGUGCACAUCUUGACGGUACCUAAUCAGAAAGCCACGGCUAACUACGUG
rnacentral:rRNA from 1 species